UACAAAAGUUUUUUUUAUAAUGUCUUUUUUUUUAUAUAGCAUUUUUUUUAAUGCAAUAGUUUGAUGCAACGUUGUAGGAAAUAAACAAAUCAAUAAGUUAAACUAGAUCUGCUACAUUACAUUAUAUUAGGAGUAGUUAAACAAGAUUAAAGUAAAAUUCACACAAUAAGUAAUCCUGAAAAAAGUAAAAAUUAUAUUAAUGCGACUUUGAAAAUGCAAUAAACUUUAGCGAGGAUUGAUGUUUGAACAUUAGCUUUGGAGAAUAAAACUGAUAUAGAAAAUUUGUAUCUAGAUAUAUCAAAAGCUUUAGACACAUUUCACAAUUAUCUCCUACUUCUAAAAUUAUAAGCAUAUAGAAUAGAUGACAAACUCUAAAAUUAGGUUUGUAUAUUACCUAAGAGAUCGGCAUUAGAGUACCAUUGUUGGUGGUACAUACACGGAAUUGGUAAUAGUAAAUAGUGGGGUCCCCCAUUAUUUACUUUUAUGAUGUAUAUUAGUGAUUUUUCUGAUUUGUUUUUAGAUUUUAUAUCUGUAUUUACAGAUGAUACUGAGUUAUACAGUUUGCUUUUUGAUAGCUCACCAUGCAAUGAGCUGCAAAAAUGGAUGGAUAUUAUAGCAAACUGGGCAAAACUAUGAAAACUAAGUUUUAAUGUAAAAAAAUGUAAAUUUAUGCCCUUAAGACCAAAAAAUACUAAGUUCAUUUAUAUACUCGUCGAUAAAAAUCUCAGUUCUUCAAUUAAUCUUAAAAACUCUCUCGUAAAUAAAGGGAUCUUCAUUGACAAUAAUUUGACUUUUAUUUUGUAUCUACAAAGAAUAACACCACCAAUAAAAUUGUAGGAAUGAUCAAAAGAUCAUUUGUCAAUCUCAAUAUCUUAACAUUUUAUACUUUGUUUAUUUUUCUUGUUUGUACUCACCUUGAUUCUUGCAGCUCUGUCUACUAUCCUAGGCUUUAAAAAGAUCAACAAUUAAUUUAAAAUGUUCUAUGCAAGUCUAGUAAAUUUAUUUUUGGCCAGACUUACUACCAAAGACUACUGAGACUAAAUUUAACUAGGGUGAGCUAUCGUUUCUUAUGUAAUGGCAUUGACAGAAACUUACAAAUGCAUUUACAAUCUUUAUAGUUGUAGUUGCAACCCUUUUGUUUCUUCAUUAAAUACCAUUCAGUAUUUUAUCUAUCAACACCUGUCUUAGAGUGAUGUCAUCUGCACGGCUGUUAUAUUUAUUAUUGUAAUUACAGACCAUUAAGUAGUUAAUCUAAGUUGUAUUAGCACAUGUGUCAAUAUGGCUGCUUCUUAAUAAUAAUAUAUAGAUUAUAUAUUUUUUCAGUAUUUAUUCCUCCAUUAUGACUAACCCUAACUUUACAACGUGCGGUCAUCUUUGUAAAUUAAAAAAAAUGUUUUGAAAGACAGUUGUCCGGAAAAUCUUUUUUAGUAUGCAAUUCACAAAUUUCUAGAAUAGUCUACCAUCAGAAAUAGUGUGUUCAACAUCUGUCACAAUGUUUAAAAAACAUCUAGAUGCAUAUUCGGUACAUCAAAUGAAAAAUUGCAUAUAAACAAUUAGACCUACACAAGUAGAUACAGUAGAACAAAAGGUUGAUUAGCUUAUUUUAUAUGCCUAGUUAUUCUUUAUUUAAAAUUAUAACCUUAGAAAAUAAUAAUAAUAACAACAUUAAUAAUAAUAACAAUAUGUUAUAUUAAAACUCAUAUAAUAGUUAUUUGCCUAAAGAUACUUCAAAAUCCUCCAAUGUUAAGUUUGUUGACGUAUCAUAUUUUUAUGAAACCAACCCUAAUACUUAAAUAACAAAUGCUGUUUAUCAUUUUUUUAAAUCUUAAAUAGUAGAGUUAUACAAUUCACUGUAUGUUUACUGCAGUAUGCCAGUAAACAAACUAUUUUUUUUUUUAUGGAGCAUAAUUUUAUUUAUUUUAGAAAUAAAAUUAGUAUGAAAUUAAAUUUCAAAUUAAUUAAACACCGAUUAAUUUUUAUGUUUGUUUUAAAUGUUAAAACACUUUAUUUUAGUGUUCCAUAGCUGGAAAAAUGCCUGGCUAACUCAUUUAAUUGAGCAUGAGAUCUUAAUCUCAUGCUCAUUUGAAUCUCGUAAUCUUGGGGUAAAAAUAUGCUUAGAGUCUUAAGUUGGUUGUCUUCAGGGAGCAUUUACUAUGGCUCUUUAGCCGUAGUAAAUGCACCAUUUUAUUUUUAGAAUAAAUAAAAUUAUACUCUAUCAUAAAAAGCAAACCAAUAUUAGAGAAUGAAAACACUAAUAAAAAUAAAAUUUGUAACAAAUAUUAUUAACUCUUCCUUUAUGUCAUAUUUAAAUAAGAAAAUGUUAUUGUGGAAACCUUUCCAAACCACACAAGCUUUAAAGUUCACUUUUUUUAACUAACCAAUUAUCAAACUCUACUUGAAAUACAAAGCGAUUACAAUUUACAUUAAGAAAUAAUGCUCUGGCUGAAUUUUUUAAUAGAAAAACAACAUGUGUGCUAUGUAUGUAACCUGUUUUUCAUGGCUGAUCAAUGAAAGUUUGAUGUAUGGGCCAAAUUACUUGCAAGUAUCUUACUUUUUGGCUGCCAUACGUGAAGCCACGCUUCUAAAAGUAACUGGAAGCAGCUGAUAAUAUUUUUUUAUUUUAUUUUGGUAAUUGCUUAUUUACAAUAUUGUUUUUGCUUGUUUAAUUUUAAGUUACACACAUGCAAGAUGCUAAUGAUCUAGACAGCUAUAUUUGACUUAAAUACUGUUCAUUGUUUAGUAUGGUUUCAUAUUUUCUAUAUAUAUAUUUUUUUAAUUAAGAAACUGCUUUAGAAUGGAAAUGUUAGAGUUUACAUCAAGCGUUGAAACAGCUGUUGAUAGUGAUGAAGAAAAAUUAUCUCUGCCUUCAGCUUAAAAAGUUGCAGGUUACAAAAAAAGUGACUCUGAUGAGAUUGUACAUCAUUUUUUCAAAGAUAAAAGAAAUCUUUAGUUUUUUAGGGUUAAGUGUUUCCAUCAGAGUUUUGCUUGACCAUUUCUUUCAAUUUAUUGAGUUAAUUGAGUUUUUUUUAUUGAGAUAUUUGUUGGUUAAAGAGGAAAAAAGAUCAUCUUAACCUGGAAGAAAAAUGAUGGAACAAAGGCACAUUAUGAAUCAAUGAACUUUCUUACUUCGGUUGGAGGAGAUGAGAAACAACUUACAGCGGCAAUCUUAAUACAGCUUAUGGCCAAAGAAGUAUAUUUUUCAUACUCAAUGUAUGAAAGGAAACAAAAACAUCCUGCAAGGUUGUUAUAGAGUUGCGUUUACUCAUUUAUCGUUGUAUUCGUUCAUUUCGAAAUCGCUACUGACCAAAGUUUUAAAGAAAAAAUUAGCAGCUUUCUGGCGGCGGCCAUUAAUAGAGAUUACGGAAGAAACAAAAAAUGCCCAUAUCUGGUAGUGAGAGUUUA